GACACAGUCGCCGCGGGAAUACGUAGGGUGCGAGCGUUAAUCGGAAUUACUGGGCGUAAAGCGUGCGCAGGCGGUUUUGUAAGACAGGCGUGAAAUCCCCGGGCUCAACCUGGGAAUGGCGCUUGUGACUGCAAAGCUAGAGUGCGGCAGAGGGGGAUGGAAUUCCGCGUGUAGCAGUGAAAUGCGUAGAUAUGCGGAGGAACACCGAUGGCGAAGGCAAUCCCCUGGGCCUGCACUGACGCUCAUGCACGAAAGCGUGGGGAGCAAACAGGAUUAGAUACCCCCGUAGUCCCUGUCUCUUAUACC
rnacentral:rRNA from 1 species